rnacentral:rRNA from 1 species
CAUCUUUAUAUCUCCACCUGUGCACCUUUUGUAAAUCUGAAUAUCUUUCUGAAUGUCUUGCAUAUUCAGGUUUGAGGAUUGAUCUUUUUCUUUCCUUACAUUUUCAGGUUUAUGUUUUUCAUAUACCCCAAGUAUGUUAUAGAAUGUUAUAAACGGGCCUUUUGUGCCCAUAAAUUUAUACAACUUUCAGCAACGGAUCUCUUGGCUCUCGCAUCGAUGAAGAACGCAGCGAAAUGCGAUAAGUAAUGUGAAUUGCAGAAUUCAGUGAAUCAUCGAAUCUUUGAACGCACCUUGCGCUCCUUGGUAUUCCGAGGAGCAUGCCUGUUUGAGUGUCAUUAAUAUAUCAACCUCUUCAGCUUUUUGCAUGUUGAGUGUUGGAUGUGGGGGUAUUUUUUGCUGGACUCUUGAAUCUGAGGUCAGCUCCCCUAAAAUGCAUCAGCGAAACAAUUUGUUUACCGCUCAUUGGUGUGAUAACUAUCUACGCUAUUGACGGUGAAGCAUGUUUGGCUCCUAACAGUCCAUUAACUUGGACAAACCUCUUAUUAAUGUGACCUCAAAUCAGGUAGGACUACCCGCUGAACUUAAGCAUAU